rnacentral:rRNA from 1 species
UAAACAUUGACAGUUAUUUACACCCACUGUCCGCCUGGGAACUACGAGCGCCAGCUUAAAACCCAAAGGACUUGGCGGUGCUUUAGACCCACCUAGAGGAGCCUGUUCUAGAACCGAUAAUCCCCGUUAAACCUCACCCUUCCUUGCCAUUUCCGCCUAUAUACCGCCGUCGUCAGCUUACCCUGUGAAGGUCCAAUAGUAAGCACAAUCGGCAAUGCCCAAAACGUCAGGUCGAGGUGUAGCGAAUGGAGGGGGAAGAAAUGGGCUACAUUUACUAAUACAGUAAAUACGGAUGAUCACCCUGCAACGAGUAUCUGAAGGAGGAUUUAGCAGUAAGUAAAAAAUAGAGUGUUUUGCUG